ensembl:lncRNA
CCUGCACCACGAUGUCCUUCAUGUAGUCGUACUCCUCGGGGGUGCAGGAAGGCGGUGAAAUCCUUCCUUGGUGGCCGCCAUGUCGCCGUCGCGGUCGGCAUCUUGAAGCGCCGCUCGUCCCUCACCAUCAUCUGCUUGUAGUUGAAGCCGUGUCCGCGGUCGGGGUCGUCUGCGGGGCGGGGGCCAAUUAACGCUAAUUAACGCCUCACCGAGUGAUCCGUGACGCCGGGAUUGGCCGUGGGGGCACCUGGGUGCCAUUAAUUAGCAGCGGCCCGGAGUUAAUGAGGUGUUGGGGAGCCAUUAAUUAGCAGCGGUGUUAACGAGGCAUCUGGGAGGGCAUGGGGAGCCAUUAAUUAGCAGCGGCCCGGUGUUAACGAGGCGUGGGGAGCCAUAAUAGCAGUGGCGCGGUGUUAAUGAGGCGUCUUGGGGGGGGAAAGCCAUCAAUUAGCAGAGGCCCAGUGUUAACGAGGCGUCUGGGAGGGCGUGGGGAGCCAUUAAUUAGCAGCGGCCUGGUGUUAAUGAGGCGCCUGGGAGGGCGUGGGGAGCCAUUAUUAGCAGCGGUGUUAACGAGGAGCCUGGGAGGGCGUCUGGGGGGCCAUUAAUUAGCAGCGGCCCGGUCUUAACGAGGCGCCUGGGAGGGGGUGGGGAGCCAUUAAUUAGCAGCGGCCCGGUGUUAACGAGGCGUGGGGAGCCAUUAAUUAGCAGCGGCCUGGUGUUAACGAGGCGUGGGAGCCAUUAAUUAGCAGCGGUGUUAACGAGGCGCCUGAGGGUGCAGCCCGCGGUGCUCCGGGAGGUCAUAAGGCCGUUAAUGAGGGCGCUAAUUAACGGGGCGGGAGUUCCCCUCCGUCCCUGGUGACCCCAAUCCCUUAAUCCCAACCCUGACCCCAAACCGUGACCCCAAACCCCAAACUGUGACCCCAAACCCCGACCCCUAAUCCUAACUCUGACCCCAAACCCCAAACCGUGACCCAAAACCCCGACCCCUAAUCCUAACCCUGACCCCAAACCCCAAACCAUGACCCCUAACCCUAACCCUGACCCCUAACCCUGACCCCAAACCCCAACCCCUAACCCUGACCCCGAC